rnacentral:rRNA from 1 species
UACGUAGGGUGCAAGCGUUGUCCGGAAUUAUUGGGCGUAAAGAGCUCGUAGGCGGUUUGUCGCGUCUGCUGUGAAAACCCGAGGCUCAACCUCGGGCCUGCAGUGGGUACGGGCAGACUAGAGUGCGGUAGGGGAGAUUGGAAUUCCUGGUGUAGCGGUGGAAUGCGCAGAUAUCAGGAGGAACACCGGUGGCGAAGGCG